ensembl:lncRNA
UUUUUUUUUUUUUUUUUUUAAAUCUCCACCCCCAUCCGCGGGCAGCCUGGCUGCGCGCGCGCUCAAUGGGAUACAAGUGGAGAGGGCCGCGCCCUUCUGGGUUAUCCACGCGGGUGGGGCAGGAGGAAAGCAAAUGCGCCUAGAGCCGCCUCCACGGUACAGGGUGGCUUUGGUUUCUUUGAUGGAGCAUUUGCCUCCCGGGGCCCUCCACUCCCCUCCCCUAGCCAGCCUGUCCCUGGCGGUGUCCCGCGAGCAAGCCCAACUCCCCGGGGCCGCGGCGCCCGCGACCGAGGAACCCUUCCGGCGGUGAAUUGAAACUCGGUGCCCAACAGCCCGACUCUAGACCCACAGAAACCGUUACGGCGCGGGCGCUGACCACGGGGACUUGGCCAAUAGGGAUCCAGGUCGGGGCCCCACGCAGGAUGCGAACUGCAGGUAGAGAGCUCCUCUGAGCUGCUCGAUCUCACAGCGCGCGUGGGUGGGGCGGCGGCCCCGUGUGGCUUUUUGGGACUUCCAAGCCCACCCCUCCCCCACAGCGCGCUGCUGUGAACCACGCGGGGACCUUUAAGGCGAGAAUAAUCCCACCAGCAGUUUACAGGGGACAGUUUCUGAAGCCUAAGGAAAGGGCAUUCUGAGUGUCUUGAGAUCUUUACAUUUGCAUGUGUUUCCUGUUUUCCAGCGGGCGUUUUCCGUGGCGAGGAAGGAACUUUUAAGUAAAUUAGAAAAGAUGUGAGGAUUUGGCUUCAGAAUGGAAGCAUAGCAGUAAUUUGUAUUUUAAAAUUAUGUGGCCGAGUUUCUUGGUAGGAAAAUAAGAGACAGUUCUUGGUUGGAGAUCAGAAAAAAAAAAAAAGAUUUUUUUUUUUAAUCCCAGUUAGAACUCAGGAAAGGCGCUUGAAUGCGCUUUUAAACAAUAUUUAAAGCAGUUUAGACGAAUGCAUUGUGAAGACCAUUCCCAAUGAACUCUAUUGAAUGUCUAAUACACAGGUAUUCCAGCUACUGGCUAGGCUUCAAUAAAAGUUUAGCUGCAUUUUUUUCCUCCUAAGUAAGUCUUAUUUUUAACUGAGCAUUGACAGUAUCUUAAAAUGGUAACGUGGGCGUGGGCGUUGUGUGCAUAGCAGUCUAGCCUGUUGGGUACCCUGCUCCUGUACCUAGUUCACAGACUCGAGUGCAUUUUUUUGGCGAGAUUUCCAUCUUUGAAGAAAAAAAAAAUACCUGAACCAGCGUUCUCUUAUUAAUUCUUUAAGCUGUGGAAAUGAUUUCCAGUUUCUACAUUCUCGAUAUGCAUCCUUCUUAUUAAAAAGAUAUAAUACGAAUGAAAGGCAGUAUGCUUAAGGUGUGCUUUGCAAAUACGUGUUAUGAAUGACUACGGUCACUGGGCAAAUUAUUUGUAGAAUGAUUAGCCUUUAGCUAGAAAAAAAAAAUCAUUGCAGCUCUUUUGGGCCUGGAUAGUUCUUUUUAAUGUUAAUGAAGGGAAGUGAUUUAAAUAUGCAUGCUCUUAGCAGUCAGGAUCUGACUUAGUUGUUUUGAGAGAAAAAGAAAAAAAUCAAAAGGCAAGGUCUACUUUUUUUCUCUGGGAAUUGAAACCACAAUCAUCUUGAUAGUAGAAUGGUGUAAGAAAUGGACAUUUAUUCUUCACUUCAGAAUUCAAAUGAGUUUUGCCCAAGGAAUCUGGGGAAUGAGGCUAAUAAGUUGCUCAAUUUUCAAGUAGUCAUUCAACAGGAGUCUCUUCCAUCACACAGCUUUUUUAUUCUCUGAUGGGGUAUUAUGUAUAGUCUCACUGUUCUCUCCUAAUGGGCAUGUGUAUCUUUGUGGACACUUGGAAGAGAGGUUUUCUUGUACUCUCUCAUUUCUAGAAUCUUUAUACUCUUUUUUCCUGCGAGGUUCUCUGCUUUUAACAGAUUUCUGAGGCAACUAUAUUUGUGCUUUUUUCUUAAUGUAGGAAGACCAGCGAAACUAGCUUACCGAGUUGUCGAUUUUAUCAGUAGAUAAAGAAACUUUGUUUAUUACAGUUUCAGGGAAGGUUUUUCAGGAUAUUUCUCAGUUAUUCUAAGGGCCAAAUUUUAUAAGAAAAAAAAAAUCUCCAUUAGGAAUGUCAGUUUCAAAUACCCUUUGUAUAGCCUAUGGCCUGUGAGGACAAUACGACUGAGCCUUACAUGAGUCCGAACAGGAAUUCAUAAGUCCCCAAAGUAAACGUCUCCAUGUAACGACUCUUGACGUGUUUCUCUGAGAGUUGGCUUAUUUUGAUUAUCGAUUCUUUCUCACUGUUCAUUCCUGUUGAUUUAUUCUGCCGAAUUUCUUUGGGUUUGAUGAGCUCAACAUUUUUUUGCUCUUUGGUAACAACUCAGGUUUUGGUUUGGGGUUUUCAUGCCCCCUUUGUGUGUUGCUUACAUUUUCCACCACAGUAUAAAAUUACUGAAGCCAAGCUACUUCGCACUCCCUUCCUACUUCCCCCCUUCCCCCAGCUCCUGACACACCUUCAUUUUUCCCUCCAUCGUCUUAUUUUUUUUAACACUACCUAGAUGCGUUAGCUGCCUGAUUACUUUAUGUAUUCCAUGUGGAUGCAGUGAGUUUAUAAGAGAAUUUCACAAACAAGUAGUUUUUUAGUGAACUUAAACAGAAUUUUAAAGGAGACCUAUUUUUAUACUCAAUAAAAGCACAAAAGUGCAUAAAGUAUAGCAUGGCGUACAAAGGGAAAUCCACUCAUAACGUUCCAUGUAUAGAAGUAAUAAUUUUCUUGGAUAGCGAUAUUCUUUGAAGACCCAGUGCCUGUCUGCCUGUGCAUAGACAGGAUGGUUUCCACACACUGGGAACUUCCGGUUGCCGGCACUUGACAAACACACUUCACCACAGCCACGAAGAGCAAUAGGCAGGAGCUGAGAUGUGCCUCCUGAUGAGCAGUCGGCCACUAGGCAACCUGGAUGUGCACAUGCGGAGGCUCCAGUCUCACUGUUUGAUCAAACUUCUUUUAUGUAGUCUCUUCUGUGAAAAAAAAAAUGACAAAACAAAGCAAUAUGAUAAGUUUGAAAAUGCAUUUGAACAUAGGAUUUCCUCCAGGGUCCUCAAAGAGAUUUUUUUUUUUAAAUGUGACAGUUAAUUUUAGUAGGCACAUUACAUGCACCCCCCCCUUCAAAAACAGAACGACUGGAAAUAAUCAAGACAUACUGUAAAAAGAAUUUUGAUCAAAUGGCUAUUGACAAAGGGCCCUCGAUUCCCAUUUCUCUUCACCCAGCUUGCGUUCAAAAACCGUAUGCCUCGUCCCCUGAAUCACACAGGGAGAAGCGUCCUAUGCCAUUGUCACGGACUCCCCACUUUGUCUACUUUUGCUCUUGUACAUAUGUUGUGGGUAUCGGUCGUUCCCAUUUGUUCUGUAACACCCUUGUUUGAAUGGACUGUUUUGAAACGGAGGCCUGUGUCUCAGGUGUGGGACACCUAGCGGUCAUGGCAACCCAUCCCGUAAGGCUUUGUUUGCCAAGCCGGGACAGAGCCACCUGAAGUCUGAGAGCAGUUAUCAGCAUGGCACUGUUAACAAGUGCUUUGUUUUCCAAGGCCGAGAGAAACAACUUUCACAGCCGCUCCAGGUUUGAGAGAGGAAUAGCUGGAAAGCCCUUUUGUUUAGAAGUCUGAGUGGGUUGUGGGGGGACCUUUUAUAGAGUUUGCAUGCCAGCGCAGGACCUGUUGCUGUCAGACAGAGAGAAGGAGAAGCUACCUGAGGCAGUGCGCUGGGGGACCAUGUAAGUGUCCCAUAGCACUAGGGAAGCAAAUGCAUGGUGAAGUCAUGUCUUCUGGUAGAGGUUAUCUAGCAUGCAGAGUGUAGUGUGUUGAAACUGUAUGACGUUGCUGUAUCAAAGUUGUAAAAUUAAGCAUUAUUUAUUGAAAACUAUGUAUUUUUUUGUAAAAACCUGAUCACACAGAGAGUAUCAGUGGCUUGUGCUUUGUGCUUCAAUCAAACCAGCUUCGUGACCGCCCUCCUUGGAAUGCAGUGUUAAUGCUCAGGGUUGAAUUCAUACACUCCAAUGUCUCUUUUGCAGGAGUUUU